UCAAUGAAGGAAAAAUCUGAUAAAGAUUCACAAGAGGGACCAGGCUUGAAAACAGCUGGGCCAGGUGGUGAGAUAACAGCAGGAUUUUUAUUGAAGAAAAGUGGAAAAACAAAUGGUUGGAGUAGGCGGUGGUUUGUAUUGAAUGAAAAAAGUGGCAAGCUUGGUUACACCAAAAAGCAGGAAGAAAGACAUUUCCGUGGUGUCAUUACUUUGGA
rnacentral:misc_RNA from 1 species